UGGGGAAUAUUGCACAAUGGGCGCAAGCCUGAUGCAGCAACGCCGCGUGAGGGACGACGGCCUUCGGGUUGUAAACCUCUUUUGGCAGGGAAGAAGCGAAAGUGACGGUACCUGCAGAAAAGCACCGGCUAACUACGUGCCAGCAGCCGCGGUCAUACGUAGGGUGCAAGCAUUAUCCGGAGUGACUGGGCGUAAAGAGUUGCGUAGGCGGUUAGUAAAGCGAAUAGUGAAACCUGGUGGCUCAACCAUACAGACUAUUAUUCGAACUCACUAACUCGAGAGUGGUAGAGGUAACUGGAAUUUCUUGUGUAGGAGUGAAAUCCGUAGAUAUAAGAAGGAACACCAAUGGCGUAGGCAGGUUACUGGACCAUUUCUGACGCUAAGGCACGAAAGCGUGGGGAGCGAACC
rnacentral:rRNA from 1 species